CUCCAAGUCUCCAGUCUGGCAGUCCUGCCUCUGUCCCUGUCCUGGCCGCCAAGGCUGGGUGGUGACAAGGUCACCUCUCUUCUCCCUGGGCCUCGCUUUCUCAGAGGCCAUGGAUGUCUGACCAGGUGAGCAGGUGACCGCUUUAAACCUGCUGAUGAUACAACACAUGCACACCUCCUCCCUCAGUCCAUCAAUCAACCAGGCCUUGCCAUUGCCCACUCAGCUGGAGAUCCUCAUGUGUGGGACUGGCCCAGCUGUGACUCAGGCUCAGCUGGAUUUUACCCCAAAAGAGCCAGGCAUUGGUUUCAAGCCCUGGGAAUCAUUUGUUUCAUUCAGGGCCAGCCUGAGAGUUCCCCCAUCAGCCUUGGAUGUUUUUAGGUUAAGUUGCCCGAGUUCUGCUCCCCUAUUGCUUACUUGUUUUCCCCAUAUGGUUACAGUUCUAGAAUGUUCAACCCCUGAGUGUAUCUAUUGUUGCUUCCCCGUUGUCUGGGGUCUCUGGAUCCUGCCCCUCGUAUUGUGCACGGCUUCUCCACGUUUGCUGUUUCUCACCCUUUAUUAAAGUUCUUUGAGGCAGCUCCAUCGAACCCGCUCCUUUUCAUUUUCACUACCCUCGCCUGAAGUCAGGGAACCAGAGAGGUUUGUCACAGCCACUCUCACUGUGACACGUACAGAAAAGCAUUUAGAAAUACUUUUAGUAUAAAUAUUACAUUGUUCAGACAUUCUUUAGGAGCCAAUUUCCCUUUCCUUUUGUUUUAAAAAUAACAUGCAUGUCUCUUGCUGUGAACAUGAAGGGAACAUCAAAACAAAACAAUAUAUACAGUGAUACAAGAAACUACAGUAAUCAAGAAAAAGUCAGAUAAUUCAUGUAAUUAAUCACACAUGUGAAAUUGGAUGAUUAUCAGUGUGUUAAACACUGCACCAUCACCCAGAGGCUGCAGCAGCUGCCAAACCUCAUUUCAGUGAGGACCUGGAGAGCCAUUCCCAGGAAAGGUAUCCAAGCUCACUCUAAAAACUGAUCCAGCUGUCCUAUCAUUAGAGGGUCAAAUUGCCAAGUCCAAGAGACUUGAAUAGAGUUCUGAGGCAGAAAACAUCUGGGUUUGUUGGCAGUUUUCCAGCCAGGUAGAGCCAGGGCCUGGCCAGAGCCCAGACCCUCAUUGGGAGGGUCUCCCUCACAUACCUUAAAAACAAAUCUCUCAAUAACAGCAGCUCUGAGAUGGCCCAAACACAGCAAACUGCUGGAGUGCUCCUGUGAGAAUACCUGGGGCUGUGUCUGAUGCCCACAGAGCAGAAGCUGCCUUGCCCUCAGCAGGGCACAGCCCUGUCCCAUGAGGAUGUGUCACAAAAGGGUCAGGAAAGACCACAGGACCUCAGCUCAGAUGAGGCUUUUGACAGAGCCCAGAGAUCUCAUCCUGGAGCUCUGAAAACACAGGAAAAUCAUGAGACAGCCCUGGGUCAAGGCACAGCAACCCUGCUGGAACAAGAGAAGGGACCAAAGGCUGAGCAGGCAGUGCAGGGAACAGCUGCAGACAGCCUGGUCAGAGAGAUGCACCUGCAGCUGUGGAACAAAGCAGAGAGAUCCCAAAGGGACACGUGUCUGUAGAUAGUGACACAAAGAUCUGUCAAAGUUCAUGGAGAGCCAGUUAUCAAUAAGGUAAUGAUACCUUAUGGAUAAUGCCUGUUAUAAAACUGAGUGAAUUCACAUGAUGGAACCAAUGUAUCAGCAGGGACUGUCUCAGGAAUUGGAGACAAUAUUCUUCCAGCAUUCCUGGAUCCAUACCAGUGAAACACUGAACAGCUGACAAUGGAUAACAGCCAUAAUGCAGAACAACCCCCACUCUGCUGUGUUACCUAUGGAAGAUAAACCAGAAGAGAUGACAAUGAAUGAUCCUGUCAGGCAGUGCAGCCCUGACACCUGUGCAAUCUGUGAGAGGAUCAAGGGCCCAACAAACUGUAUCUGCUUCUAUCCAAAAGCAGGUGUUUAUCAGUGUUUCAUCACAGCUGUUUCACUUGGAUUGGUCUUGUGUAUAGAAGAAAAUAACCACAUCUUGCAAUGUAAUCAAACAUAUUUAAACAAAA